rnacentral:rRNA from 1 species
UUACCAACAGAAUAAGCACCGGCUAACUUCGUGCCAGCAGCCGCGGUAAUACGAAGGGUGCAAGCGUUAAUCGGAAUUACUGGGCGUAAAGCGCGCGUAGGUGGUUUUAUCAAGUUGGAUGUGAAAUCCCCGGGCUCAACCUGGGAACUGCAUUCGAAACUGGUGAGCUAGAGUAUGGUAGAGGAUGGUAGAAUUCCCGGUGUAGCGGUGAAAUGCG